GACGAACGCUGGCGGCGUGCUUAACACAUGCAAGUCGAACGGAAAGGCCCUGCUUUUGUGGGGUGCUCGAGUGGCGAACGGGUGAGUAACACGUGAGUAACCUGCCCUUGACUUUGGGAUAACUUCAGGAAACUGGGGCUAAUACCGGAUAGGAGCUCCUGCUGCAUGGUGGGGGUUGGAAAGUUUCGGCGGCUGGGGAUGGACUCGCGGCUUAUCAGCUUGUUGGUGGGGUAGUGGCUUACCAAGGCUUUGACGGGUAGCCGGCCUGAGAGGGUGACCGGCCACAUUGGGACUGAGAUACGGCCCAGACGCCUACGGGAGGCAGCAGUGGGGAAUAUUGCACAAUGGGCGGAAGCCUGAUGCAGCAACGCCGCGUGCGGGAUGACGGCCUUCGGGUUGUAAACCGCGUGCGCCUGUGACGAAGCGUGAGUGACGGUAAUGGGUAAAGAAGCACCGGCUAACUACGUG
rnacentral:rRNA from 1 species